UACGUAGGGGGGCUAGCGUUGUCCGGAUUUAUUGGGCGUAAAGAGCGUGUAGGCGGCCAGGUAGGUCUGCUGUGAAAACUGGAGGCUUAACCUCCAGACGUCGACGGAAACCGCGUGGCUAGAGUCCGGAAGAGGAGAGUGGAAUUCCUGGUGUAGCGGUGAAAUGCGCAGAUAUCAGGAAGAACACCAAUGGCGAAGGCAGCUCUCUGGGACGGUACUGACGCUGAGACGCGAAAGCGUGGGGAGCGAACAGG
rnacentral:rRNA from 1 species